CGUGAGGAACCUGCCUUUCAGAGGGGGACAACAGUUGGAAACGACUGCUAAUACCGCAUAAUAUAUGUUUGUCGCAUGGCAGAUAUAUCAAAGAUUUAUCGCUGAGAGAUGGCCUCGCGUCUGAUUAGCUAGUUGGUAGGGUAACGGCCUACCAAGGCGACGAUCAGUAGCCGGACUGAGAGGUUGGCCGGCCACAUUGGGACUGAGAUACGGCCCAGACUCCUACGGGAGGCAGCAG
rnacentral:rRNA from 1 species